rnacentral:rRNA from 1 species
GUGAACGCUGGCGGUAGGCCUAACACCUGCAAGUCGAACGGCAGCACAGUAAGAGCUUGCUCUUACGGGUGGCGAGUGGCGGACGGGUGAGGAAUACAUCGGAAUCUACUUUUUCGUGGGGGAUAACGUAGGGAAACUUACGCUAAUACCGCAUACGACCUACGGGUGAAAGCAGGGGAUCUUCGGACCUUGCGCGAUUGAAUGAGCCGAUGUCGGAUUAGCUAGUUGGCGGGGUAAAGGCCCACCAAGGCGACGAUCCGUAGCUGGUCUGAGAGGAUGAUCAGCCACACUGGAACUGAGACACGGUCCAGACUCCUACGGGAGGCAGCAGUGGGGAAUAUUGGACAAUGGGCGCAAGCCUGAUCCAGCCAUACCGCGUGGGUGAAGAAGGCCUUCGGGUUGUAAAGCCCUUUUGUUGGGAAAGAAAAGCAGCAGGGUAAUACCCCGCUGUUCUGACGGUACCCAAAGAAUAAGCACCGGCUAACUUCGUG